rnacentral:rRNA from 1 species
GACGAACGCUGGCGGCGUGCCUAACACAUGCAAGUCGAGCGAUGAAGCUCCUUCGGGAGUGGAUUAGCGGCGGACGGGUGAGUAACACGUGGGUAACCUGCCUCAGAGAGAGGGAUAGCCUUCCGAAAGGAAGAUUAAUACCUCAUAAGAUUGUAGUUUCGCAUGAAACGGCAAUAAAAGGAGCAAUCCGCUAUGAGAUGGACCCGCUUCGCAUUAGCUAGUUGGUAAGGUAAUGGCUUACCAAGGCGACGAUGCGUAGCCGACCGGAGAGGGUGAUCGGCCACAGUGGGACUGAAACACGGCCCAGCCUCCUACGGGAGGCAGCAGUGGAGAAUAUUGCACAAUGGGGGAAACCUUGAUGCAGCAACGCCGCGUGAGUGAUGACGGUCUUCGGAUUGUAAAACUCUGUCUUUGGGGACGAUAAUGACGGUACCCAAGGAGGAAGCCACGGCUAACUACGUGCCAGCCGCCGCAGUAAAAC